rnacentral:rRNA from 1 species
AUCGAACGCUGGCGGCAGGCCUAACACAUGCAAGUCGAGCGAGCGGCGGACGGGUGAGUAAUGUCGGGGAACCUGCGUGAUGGAGGGGGAUAACUACUGGAAACGGUAGCUACUACCGCAUACCAUCAGAUGUGCCCAGUUGGGAUUAGCUAGUAGGUGGGGUAAUGGCUCACCUAGGCGACGAUCCCUAGCUGGUCUGAGAGGAUGACCAGCCACACUGGGACUGAGACACGGUCCAGACUCCUACGGGAGGCAGCAGUGGGGAAUAUUGCGCAAUGGGCGCAAGCCUGAUGCAGCCAUGCCGCGUGUGUGAAGAAGGCCUUCGGGUUGUAAAGCACUUUCAGCGGGGAGGCGUUACUCACAGAAGAAGCACCGGCUAACUCCGUGCCAGCAGCCGCGGUAAUAC